UUUUUGUCCAUCAGACUUUAUCUUUGCACGUGGUAACCGUUCACUCUUCUUCUUCUUCUUCUUCUUCUUCUUCAUCUCAUCUCUCUCUCUCUCUCUCUCUCUCUCUCUCAUGUUGCAGCCAUCUCCAGUCCAUGGCAACAACAGCAGUACUUUUCCACUUGCUCUCUCUAUCAGAUUAGCAAUCCGCUGCUCAUUGUUAGGGCUUCAAGAGUAUCGGCCAUGAUCUUCUAUUACGGAUGGUCUCUAUAUGUGUUUGGCUUCAUCUCACUUAAAUGGCUAGACUGAAAUCUCAGAUCUGUAAGAAAGGUGCAACAAAUUGGUUUUCUUUGUUAACUUUAGCGAAUUGAUUCUUUUCUUAUGUUUGGUUGUUUCUUGAUUUUGUUUUUAGGCUCUUACAUGCCCCUUUUUGUAAGGCAGAUCUAAAUUUUGGGGUUAACCUUUGAAGGUUAGAAACUUAGAAUGUAACUUUUCAUAUUUUUCAAAAAAAGCUGACUUCUUUUUAUGAUCACUGGAUUAGGCAAAGUUGGGAUAAUUUAGAGUAGUAACUAGGAUUUCAAAAUAGGUUCAACAUUGUUUUUUACCUUCCCUAAAAGUGUGCUGGGUUCUUCCAGAAACAUGAGAAAGGAUGGUGCGUUUUAAUUAAACAAUUUCAAGUCAUGUUUUAUCCUUUAUAAAUUGUGUUGGGUUUGGGGUUCUGACCUUAUAAGUCAUGUGAAUUUGUGUGGGUCUUUCGUAUUUUCUUGUUGUUAUCCAUUAGAUUUUUGCUGAAAUGGUUAGCAAUUUAUAUUUUUUCCUUUUAAGACUUUCGUUGUUUCUAUUAUCUAUAGAUGUAAGACAUAUAGUUGGAAAACAAAAGAGAAGCCUAAUUGGUUUCUGUUGGUGCAAGAGAAGUUGUACUCUUAUCUUUAGCCAAUAAAGGACUUGUCGUAAGGACAUCACAAAUCAGGGGUCACUGGAUCUUACACAUCAUUAGAGAAGGUUGGGCAAUUUGAUCAUUUAGAACUUGUUACUCUUUACAUAUAUGGAUUCCAACAUAAUCUAUAUAAAAUAAGGCUUUUGCCCGUGGAGUUUGAUACUCAUAUUAUCUUUAUGAGCUAAAAAAUCUCAUAUACGUAUGUUUGUAUUUUUGCUGGUUGGCUGGGCAUGUCAAUCAAAUGAUAACCACAAUUUAUUUAAAUUUUUUCUCUUAGCACAUAAGAGGGCCAGAGGGUGAGUUCGAGUUCGAGGUCAUAGAUGUGUAAUGUAUAACUCUGUUUAGCCAAAUUAGAAGCAUUUUGUUGAGGUGGUAUGGCCUCUGAUCCAUUUCUUGAUUUGCAGGUUUGCGAACGAGUUUAUCAGUACUUAGUUGAAGUGAUCAAGUUGGAAGAGUUGCAACUUGCAAGUAAAUGACUUCAUAUCUUAUCAUGUGUGAUGUUUUGUACUAUACUACAUUUCAAUGUUAUAUGCUUGUUCUUGCUAUGGACUUCACAUGAUUAGCUUUAGUAAUAAGAGCUUUUGUCUUUAUUAGUUCUACUAGGUAACUUUGUGGGACAAUAUGAACUACAUUAAUGUACAAGGUAUCUUACUAAUAUAGUCAUAUAUGUCAAAUGUAAAAGAUAACAAAUGACUCUAUAAACUUGCAACUGUAUGGUAUUGCCUACUGGUUCUAGUAAGUUUAUAGGAUGCUACCUUUUGAUAGAGAAUGAUUCUGUUAAGUUAUGUUCUCAUGCUAAAACAUGUCAAUGAUCCAUAUAGAGAAUUAAUGGAGAAAUAGAAAGAUUUGUAUUGAAGGGUGAUUUUAAAUUUGUGCCAACACCCAUAUGUUGCAAUUGGAAUUUAGGUUUGCAGUUUGCUCACAGCUUUUAUUGCAAUUGUCAUUUAGUGUUUGAUUAACAGCUUUGUUCAUGUAUCUCCGUAUCUUUCAUUUAUAGACCAGAUUUUGCAGGAGGUGGAGUUGCUGUUGGAGUUUCAACUUGAAGUUGUAGUCAUAAGCCAUUGAAGUUAUGAUUAAUUUAGACUAGUAUAGAUGUACUGAUGUAUUCCAAUUAGUAUAGGAGGGUAAAUUCUUGUUAGUACAAGCUAUGUAUCUAUAUUUCAAUAGUAAGAGACUACUGUAUUAUUUUUAUUUAUCAAAAUUGAGGAUUUAAUAUUUAGUAAUCCGUUUCUACA